AAUGAACGCUGGCGGCGUGGUUAAGACAUGCAAGUCGAACGGCAGCGGACCUUCGGGUGCCGGCGAGUGGCGAACGGGUGAGUAAAGUAUCGGAACGUACCUUUCAGUGGGGGAUAACUGUCCGAAAGGACAGCUAAUACCGCAUAUUCUGUGAGCAGGAAAGCAGGGGAUCGCAAGACCUUGCGCUGAUUGAGCGGCCGAUAUCAGAUUAGCUAGUUGGUGAGGUAAAGGCUCACCAAGGCGACGAUCUGUAGCGGGUCUGAGAGGAUGAUCCGCCACACUGGAACUGAGACACGGUCCAGACUCCUACGGGAGGCAGCAGUGGGGAAUUUUGGACAAUGGGCGCAAGCCUGAUCCAGCCAUGCCGCGUGAGUGAAGAAGGCCUCGG
rnacentral:rRNA from 1 species